GGGCACUAAAAGUACUUCAACUCCGACACCCGCUUGGGGUGCUGCAGUGAACACUGGAACCACAUCUGAGCCAGAUCAGUCUGGUGGCUGGGGAAAAGGUGGAGGCAGCUCGGGUCAGUCAGAGCCUAAUGAUAAUCAGAAUACUGCCUGGGGCACUAAAAGUACUUCAACUCCGAAGCCCUCAUGGGGUGCUGCAGUGAACACCGGAACCACAUCUGAGCCAGAUCAGUCUGGUGGAUGGGGAAAAGUUGGCGGCAGCUCGGGCCAGACAGAGCUUAAUGACAAUCAGAAUACUGCUUGGGGCACUAAAAGUUCUUCCACUCCGGCACCUGCAUGGGGUGCUACAGUGAACACCGGAACCACAUCUGAGCCAGAUCAGUCCGGCGGCUGGGGCACUAAAAGUACUUCAACUCCGAAGCCCUCAUGGGGUGCUGCAGUGAACACCGGAACCACAUCCGAGCCAGAUCAGUCCAGUGGCUGGGGCGCUAAAAGUACUUCUGAUGUGAACAAUAGCA
rnacentral:lncRNA from 1 species